rnacentral:misc_RNA from 1 species
GAUGAAGAACGUAGCGAAAUGCGAUAAGUAAUGUGAAUUGCAGAAUUCAGUGAAUCAUCGAGUCUUUGAACGCACAUUGCGCCCCCUGGUAUUCCGGGGGGCAUGCCUGUCCGAGCGUCAUUGCUGCCCUCAAGCACGGCUUGUGUGUUGGGCCCCGUCCUCCGAUCCCGGGGGACGGGCCCGAAAGGCAGCGGCGGCACCGCGUCCGGUCCUCGAGCGUAUGGGGCUUUGUCACCCGCUCUGUAGGCCCGGCCGGCGCUUGCCGAUCAACCCAAAUUUUUAUCCAGGUUGACCUCGGAUCAGGUAGGGAUACCCGCUGAACUUAAGCAUAUCAUAAGCGGAGGA